CACCCUGGGAAGGCCCGGUGGCCUUGCCUCACUCCUCCGCGGUGGCUUUAGACCCUUUGGACCUCACUGGGCACUCGUGACCUUCAUGAGUGGAGGCGUGUGGGAGUCUGAAGUCAUUGGCACUUCGAGGUAGUGAUUCCCGUUCACGGGGAGAUCCAGACUGGCGGGGCUGAUCGGUGUCAGGAACGAGCCCGAGGUAGUUCUUGCAGGGAGCCCAAGGGAAUCAGACAAGCCCUAGAGCUGUUCUGAAGCCCUGUGACUCCAGGGCUCCGGGUUCUGUGGCACAGCCUUCCCCGAGUUUGAGCCCGAGAUGAGAGAAGGAUGGAAAGUGGGGGAUUGGCGGCCAGAUGUGUGGCAUACAGGGACUGGGUGCGAGGGUGUGCGGCGGGACGCAGGGGAGGAGCAGCCCACAGCCCGGGCACCUAGGGCCUUCACAGCGUGGCUUCCGCUCUGGGGCUGCCCAAAGCCCGGGCUUUGCUCAGGCUCUGGUGCUUCUGUACCCUGAGGUGCAGCCUUAUCGCAGCAUCGCUGGCCCAGUGGAAUGGAAUCCUGCAUUGCUGACCUGCAGCCUGGGGCCCUGGAGCAGUGGACAGCAGAAACCGCAGUGCUGCGUGCCUCCCUGUCUGCCUCCUUGCUUUGGAAAAUCCCGCCAUGCUCCUGAGGGCUUGGGUACCCUGUGGGCAAGAAGGAAGAAUCCUCCUCGAGGUUGGGGCUAGGACCACGCCUCCUCGAAGCACAGACACCAGCUGUCCCUUCGUUCAGCGAGGCAGUGCUUCCACUGACAUCCGCGGAGCUGCCCGUGGCUGCAGGCUAAGUCUCAGUUCUCCAACUUGCACAGAUUUCCCCGGAGGACUUGUUUCGACAGGUUACCUGCCCAGCCCUGGAGUUCCUGACCCAGUAGGUGUGGGGAAUCUGUCUUUCUAACAAGUUUCCGAGUGAUGUUAAUGCGCUGACCUGCUGACCAUGCUUUCUGAGCGGCUGGUGUGAGCCAGGGUCAUUGAUCCACACCCCCAUGGAGACCAGCGAAGGACCCGGGUCUGGGGCGGGAGGGGAGAUGUGACGUGGGGAGACACAGGCGCAUCGAGGUGGACAUGGAGGCAAGGCCAGGCCCUGGGGUCAGGGUCUGGGGUAGGGGAGAUGCAGUGUGAGGAAGUCUGGGGCCAUGCUGAGCUGACUGGCCUGCAGCCCGGUGCACCUGACCCUGGGGCUGGGAACAAUGGCUGGGCCGCGCUGGCUGGCUGGCUGGCGGCCACGAACAUCUCUGUUUUCCUUCGCGGCUCCCAUCUUCCGAGCCCUC
rnacentral:lncRNA from 1 species